CCUACGGGAGGCAGCAGUGAGGAAUAGUGGUCAAUGGACGCAAGUCUGAACCAGCCAUGCCGCGUGCAGGAAGACGGCUCUAUGAGGUGUAAACUGCUUUUGUACGAGGGUAAACGCAGAUACGCGGAGCUGUCUGAAAGUAUCGUACGAAUAAGGAGCGGCUAACUCCGUGCCAGCAGCCGCGGUAAUACGGAGGAUUCAAGCGUUAUCCGGAUUUAUUGGGUUUAAAGGGUGCGUAGGCGGUCGGAUAAGUUAGAGGUGAAAUCCCGAGGCUCCACUUCGGAAUUGCCUCUGAUACUUUUAGGCUAGAGAGUAGUUUCGGUAGUCGGAAUGUAUGGUGUAGCGGUGAAAUGCUUAGAGAUCAUACAGAACACCGAUUGCGAAGGCAGCUUACCCAGCUACUUCUGACGUUGAGGCACGACAGCGUGGGGAGCAAACAGGAUUAGAUACCCCAGUAGUC
rnacentral:rRNA from 1 species